rnacentral:rRNA from 1 species
UACGGGGGGGGGCAAGCGUUGUUCGGAAUUACUGGGCGUAAAGGGCGCGUAGGCGGCCUGCUAAGUCGGACGUGAAAUCCCUCGGCUCAACCGGGGAACUGCGUCCGAUACUGGCGAGGCUUGAAUCCGGGAGAGGGAUGUGGAAUUCCAGGUGUAGCGGUGAAAUGCGUAGAUAUCUGGAGGAACACCGGUGGCGAAGGCGACUUCCUGGGCUGUAACUGACGCUGAGGCGCGAAAGCGUGGGGAGCAAACAGG